AUUGAACGCUGGCGGCAGGCUUAACACAUGCAAGUCGAGCGGAGAUGAGGUGCUUGCACCUUAUCUUAGCGGCGGACGGGUGAGUAAUGCUUAGGGAUCUGCCUAUUAGUGGGGGACAACAUUCCGAAAGGAAUGCUAAUACCGCAUACGUCCUACGGGAGAAAGCAGGGGAUCUUCGGACCUUGCGCUAAUAGAUGAGCCUAAGUCGGAUUAGCUAGUUGGUGGGGUAAAGGCCUACCAAGGCGACGAUCUGUAGCGGGUCUGAGAGGAUGAUCCGCCACACUGGGACUGAGACACGGCCCAGACUCCUACGGGAGGCAGCAGUGGGGAAUAUUGGACAAUGGGGGGAACCCUGAUCCAGCCAUGCCGCGUGUGUGAAGAAGGCCUUAUGGUUGUAAAGCACUUUAAGCGAGGAGGAGGCUACUGAGACUAAUACUCUUGGAUAGUGGACGUUACUCGCAGAAUAAGCACCGGCUAACUCUGUGCCAGCCGCCGCGGUAAGAC
rnacentral:rRNA from 1 species